rfam:Candidatus Sungbacteria bacterium RIFCSPLOWO2_01_FTLL_59_16 rifcsplowo2_01_scaffold_4111, whole genome shotgun sequence.
GGGUACGGAUAAGGGCGUAUGGUGGAUGCCUUGGCUCUCGAAGGCGAUGAAGGACGCGGCGUGCCGGCGAUACGCUCCGGGGAGGUGGCGAGCAACCUUUGAUCCGGAGGUCUCCGAAUGGGGAAACCCCCCGGCACCUUCUUGUCUUUUUAUGGGUUACGGCUGGCGUAGGAAGUGAGCUACUUUACCGCACAGCCCAACUGUAUUAAAGAAGAUGAGAAGGUGCCGGGACUCCGCGGGUAAUACCGCGGCAGAGCGAUACCCGGUGAAGUGAAACAUCUCAGUAACCGGAGGAACAGAAAACAACGAGAAGUUCAAGUUGUUGGAUCGUCCCGCUUUCAGCGGGACUUGAUGAAUCGGCCUUCGGCCUUGGUGAAGUUGUUCUGCAAUUUCAUCAAGCGAAGUGAUUUAUCAAUUCCAUCAAUUUGAUCUUCUUUCAUUCCCUGAGUAGCGGCGAGCGAAACGGGAACAGCCCAGAGCAUUUUUUCAGCGAUUACCUCAAGGAGAAAAUGCAGUUGUAAGUGUGGCGCGUAAGGGAGCAACCUGCCCGCCGGAAACGGCAGGCGGGUCCCUUGGAGAGCGAUUAGUUAGGACUUCGUUAGGAGAACACGCCUGGAACGGCGGACCAAAGCGGGUAAUAGUCCCGUAUCCGAAAACGGUCUUAUGCUCUCUGCGCUACAACUUGAGUACCGCGCCGUUCGGCGACUGCGCGGGAAACAGGGGGGACUAGCCCCCCAAGGCUAAAUACUCUCGAGAGACCGAUAGUGAACCAGUACCGUGAGGGAAAGGUGAAAAGCAGCCCGGUGAGGGCGAUGAAAUAGUACCUGAAACCAUAUGCCUACAAGGAGUUGCGGCCCGCAAGGGUUGCAGCGUGCCUAUUGAAGAAUGAGCCAACGAGUUCUUGGAUGCUGCUCGAUGAAGUGCCGCGAGGCACGGAGUCAUAGGGAAACCGAGUGUGAAUAGCGCGUCCGAGCUGUUCAAAUUGGUGAAUCGUCCCACUUUCAGCGGGACUUGGUGAAUCGCUUCGCUUGGUCAAUUUGAUCAAGCGCCGCGCGAGCGGCGCGGUUUACCAGCUUCAUCAAUUUGAUCAGCUCACGGUAGUAUCCAAAAGACCCGAAACCAGGUGAGCUUGCCAUGGCCAGGGUGAAUGCCGCAGAAAUGCGGCAGGAGGCCCGAACCGGUUGGCCGUGCAAUACCUUCGGAUGAGCUGUGGCAAGGAGUGAAAAGCUAAUCGAACCUGGAAAUAGCUGGUUCUCUCCGAAAUAGCUUUUGGGCUAGCCUCGGAUUACGUUCGGCGCGAGGUAGAGCUACUGGAUGGUCGGGAGCGGGGAAACUCGCCUCGACCAAUCAAACUCCGAAUGCGCGUCGGAUUACUCCGGGAGUCAGCAGGUGGGGGCUAAGCUCCAUCGUGCGCAACGGAAACAGCCGUUGACCGCAAGCUAAGGUCCCAAAAUGCAUGCUGAGUGGUGAAGGUGGUGGUGUUUCUUAUACAUCGAGGAGGUUGGCUUAGAAGCAGCCAUCCUUUAAAGAGUGCGUAACAGCUCACUCGUCUAGAAACGCUGCGCCGAAGAUUCAACGGGGCUAAGCAUGCUACCGAAGCUGCGGAUUGUGUGCCUGAAUUUUGGAUUUAUUAGUUCUUUUAUGAGUUCGGGGUGCCGCUUUUGGGAACGUUGAAAAUUCCCAGCGAGGAUUUUCAACUCGCCGAUUCGCUCGCUCCCCCGACCGCGGUCGGGGACCAUGCCCGCUCGCUCAUCGAGCGUCCCAAAAGCGGCAUCCCGAACUUAAAAUUCAUUCACAGGGAGGGAGAGAGAUGAACGAGGUCAUUUGGUCGGUCGGGGUCGACAUAACAGGAGACCUCAUCGCUAAGAGCAUCGGGGUUAUUGGCGUCGUGAUGCUGGUGGCUCAGGCUACCCAUAGCAUCUUCCGGCGCGCAUUCCCGAAGGGUAAGUGCGGCUGCGUCGUGUACCGACUCGACGAGCCAUCAGGGGAGUGAGUAAACCUCCCCUCCAAAAUUCAGGCACACAGUGGUAGGAGAGCAUUCGCUUCUGCGAUGAAGGUCUACCCGCGAGGGGGACUGGAGCGGAGCGAAGAGAGAAUGUUGGCACUAGUAACCGCAUAUCCGGUGAAAGUCCGGAUCGCCGAAAACCCAAGGUUUCCUUGGCAAUGACAAUCAUCCAAGGGUAAGUCGGUCCUAAGGCGAUGGCGAAAGCCGCAGCCGAUGGAUGAGCUGGUUAAUAUUCCAGCACUCGGCGCUGAACCGAUGGCGUGACGGAGCGGAGUAUCGGGGGCGAAUUAUGGAUUUUCGUUCGAGCGAUGAGGAUGGCCGGCAGGCAAAUCCGCCGGCGGGGGUCAUGCCCGCAUCCAAGUCGAGCGAAAAUUCCUUGGAGCAAUCCUCGGGAAAUUUCCGAAAGCCCGCUUCCCAGAAAACCGUCUAGGUCCGGCACCUUCUUGUGCGUUAUACUGAGGCAAUGUACUACGUGUACGUUCUCAGAAGUCGAUCCAAUUCAAAAUACUAUAUUGGCUAUUCUACUGAUUUGCGGAAGAGAUUCGCAGAUCACAAUGAUGGCAAAAGUAACUUUACCAGAUGGGGAUGCCCAUGGGAGCUGGUAUAUUACGAGGCCUUCAAAAAUAGAUUAGCAGCCCAAAAUCGUGAGAGAAAACUGAAACAGUUUGGCAAGCGAUGGGCGGAGCCUAAGAAACGAAUUGGAGCCGAAUAGCGCGUGAGAAGGUGCCGGAAUUCAGCGUCGAACCGUACCGCAAACCAACACAGGUGGGUUGGUCGAGUAGACCAAGGCGAACGGGUGAGUCCUCGUGAAGGAACUCGGCAAAUCAGCAGCCGUAAGUUCGCGAUAUGGCUUCCCGGCACCUUCUUGUCUUUUUGUAUGGGUAAUCUCUCUGGAGGUUCUCUCCAGUGGCAGAUUAUCCGUUCGGGAAGAGGGCAAGAAGGUGCCGGGCGCAGCGAAAGAAUCCCUAGCGACUGUUUACCAAAAACACAGCUCCCUGCUAACUCGCAAGAGGAUGUAUAGGGGGUGACGCCUGACCAAUGCGAGAAGGUUAAGCGUUGCUGUUGGAGGACGGCGAUUACCUCAACGUUUUCCAGCGUGCGACGCCAAGCCCUCGUCAAUGUCCGCGGUAACUAUAACCGUGUUAAAGUGGGUAGCGCCGCUUUAAUGAAAUCCGGCUAUAUGCUGGAACAUCUGGAGUAUCUGGCACUACUAAGGCAUAGUUAUCCUUAGAGUGGUAACUCUACGGAAUUAUGCCGAGUGAAAAUGUGUCCAGUGCAGACAAUCAGCAGGAAAGACUCUGAUAAAAUCAGAGAAUCCUCAGAGACUAUACGCCGGACCUCCUCCUUUCGAUCGAAAGAAGGGGGAAGAUAUAGUCCGAUCUCUCUGGCGACAGAGAGGAUCUCUCCGUCCAGAACUUAACCUGGGUGGUAAACGCGGAGAGUGAUAACGUAAUGAGCGCAAUUCCUUUUCGGGUAAGUUCCGAAGCGCAUGAAAGGCGUAACGACUGGGGGACUGUCUCCACGAGGAGCCCGGUGAAAAUACAGUACCGGUGAAGAUGCCGGUUACCUGCAGUUAGACGAAAAGACCCCGGGAGCUUUACUGUAGCUUGGUAUUGGGUCGUAUAUCCUUCUGCGUAGCAUAGGUGGGAGGCGAUGAAGCCCGGUUUUCGGAUCGGGCGGAGCCGUCAGUGAAAUACCACUCUGGAGGACAUUCGAUCCUAACUCGGCGAGACCAAACUCGCCGAAGACCGUGCCUGGCGGGCAGUUUGGAUGGGGCAUCAUCCUCCCAAAGGGUAAUGGAGGAGUUCAAAGGUCGGCUUAGGCCGGAUGGAAAUCGGCCCGGACCCGUAACGGGACAAGCCGGCUUGACUGCGAGGGGGACAUCCCGAGCAGGUGCGAAAGCAGGACGUAGUGAACCGAUGGCCAUGGUAAUUAUUCACAUCCCGCUUUUUAAGCGGGACGUGGGUGAUUGCUGCUUACUAGAACAAGGCCAAAGAUUAACGGAUAAAAGCUACCCCGGGGAUAACAGGCUAGUUGCGCCCGAGCGUCCACAGCGACGGCGCAGUUCGGCACCUCGAUGUCGGCUCAAAUUGGGCCGCUACCCGAGUAAUCGGGUAUAGGAAAUCAGCUAAUAACGGUGAAGUCCUAUCUGAUGUAACCCAGAAAUGAUAGGAUAAUACCGUGGGAAGCUAAGCGAUAGUAUUCGUAUGGAAUGCACGGCGCGACAACGCGCAAUUAUUCUCGGAGCAAUUCUUGGCGAUUCUCAAAUCGAGAAACGCUGGAAAAAUCCGAGGAUCCGAUUUGCGCACAGCAUCAAUCAGAAGGAUUACCUAUUCUGGAAGUAUUCGGAAUUGAGAAGUGUUGCGAGUUCAAAACCCGUUCUCAUUCGCGAGAAGCAUCAAAUGAUGCAAAAAGUGUAUGAGAGUUGGCAAUUUGGCACUCGCGCGCUUCCUGAGUUCAGAGAAUACUGGGAUUGGUUCUAUCCCCAUGGCCGAAAGAGCAUUCCGGAACGGAUACAUGAAUUAAUGAUUAGUCCGCUUUCCGUGGCCGUCUGGCAUAUGGAUGAUGGCUAUAAGAGGAAUGACUGUAAUGCGAUCCGCCUUAGUACCGAUGCAUUCUCAAAGCCAGAUCACUUGAGAUUGCGGGCCAUGCUUAAGAAGAAUUUCGGUAUCGUCAGCGCAUUACAUAGGAAAGGGAAAUACUGGAACAUCUAUAUUCCACAGCAUGCGGUGGAGAAAUUUACUGAGAUAGUGGAGCCGUAUAUUGUUCCAGGUCUUAAGUACAAAAUCGCUUUAGCCCCGUAACGACUGAGGCUUUAGGCCAAGAUAGAUCGCUAAUCUAGUGGUCUAUAAAACGCUGACCCCCAUAAAAUUCGUGGGGUGAAAGUAUAGUCUGCCCAUGUAGUAAUACAUGAAUUGGUGCACCUUAGCGCGGGGGUGGAGAAGCUCCCAAGCGUUGGGCUGUUCGCCCAUUAAAAAGGUACGCGAGCUGGGUUCAGACCGUCGAAAGCGCCCGAUUACAUCAUCGGGCAGGCGGCGGGCGGCAGUAAUGCCGCCAUGAAAAACCGACUCAUAUCGGGGGAGUCCCCGCUAUACGGCCAAACCGUCGUAUGGUAGGAUAAUCCCGAGGGAAGUCGUGUAUGCUCAAGUCGUUCUCAAAUAUCAAGAAAGCGUAUAUCGCAGGAUUUCUUGAUGCUGAUGGAAGUAUCUAUGUUCGCGCGAAGCCGAAUCCAACCUAUCGGUAUGGAUUUCAAGUUGCUCCGUUCAUAGUGUUCUUCCAAUCGGCCAAAGAUCGAGAAAGCUUUGCGAAAGUAUGUAGUCUGAUCGGAUACGGGCGUAUGCGCGAGCGCAACGAUGGAAUUCUCGAAUAUGUCAUCAAUAAAGUUGCUGACAUUCGAGAGCUCCUGAAAUGCAUUCAGCCAUACCUUGUUCUGAAACAGAGGCAAGCGAUACUUAUGCUGCAAAUUCUUGAAGUAAAAGAACGAAUAGAAAAGCGAGAGGAUUUUGAGACCCUGCUGAAACUUAUUGAUAGUUAUCGCAAGCUCAAUUACUCGAAAAAGCGCAAAGAGCGUACAUUGACCCCGUAGAGACUUGUCGCGGAUGCGGCGGAGUUCAGAGAAUUCUCUCUGGGCUAAUAUGUCGGUCAUCCCGCUUUUAGCGGGAUGGUGGUAUAGUCCAUACACCAAGUAAUUGGUGAGAAAUAUGCGUGAGACAGGUCGGUCUCCUAUCUACUGCAGGCGUUGAUACUUGAGGGGAGUCGUCCUUAGUACGAGAGGACCGGGAUGAACAUACCUCUGGUGUACCAGCUGUUCCGCCAGGAGCACCGCUGGGUAGCUAUGUAUGGACGGGAUAAGCGCUGAAAGCAUCUAAGUGCGAAGCCCACCCCAAGAUGAGGUAUCGUUAUCAGGCCCGUGGGAGAUGACCACGUUGAUAGGCGCCAGGUGUAAGGCCCGUGAGGGCCUCAGCCGAGGCGUACUAAUCGGCCGACCGUACCCGU